UCGGGGAUGGAUGUGCGUGGCGAGUGUAUCUCCCUGGGUGUGUAUGUGUGUCCACGCCUAUCAAGUGACCACAUAACUUUCUUUCCCUGGUGAUAUGAAGGCGUGGACGCUGCCAUAGUGAAAAACAAGCUGCCCUGUCACUCGUGACUCAGGAGAGCGGCAAGUCCUGGGGCUACUACAUGGGGCACUCCUACCCCCCCGGCGCACCCCAGCCCAGUUCAGUAAUCGCCCCCAUCCCCCGAGGACCCCGCCCCCCUAUCCGCGAGGGAAACAAGCGACAUGAAAAAGGAAGGAAGGAGUUAAGAACUGAAAUGUUGGUGGCACAGUGUGUGGUGGUAAUAUCGACUUGAAAUACAGGCAAUGUGAUAACAAACCCACUGUAACUUUACCUUGGCUGGACAACGAGAGACGACCAGUUAAAGAUUCAAGUGUUUCCACACUAAAUGAAAUGUUUGUUGUGUGUUUGUUACGGACGUGAAAUACAGCCGCACAGAGGCACGGACGCAAGGGCACCCCUCACUGUCACUCUCUGCCAGGACGCACGAACACACACAUACGCGCAUACUCCACCAUCUGGAUGAGGGAGCACAACUGUGUGUGUGAUGAGCUGCUCAAGAUUCACCCAAAUCUUGGGAUGACAACUGCCUCUACCAGACUGCCCGCCUUACUGUCAUGAUUGUCAUCAGUGAGGAGAGAGAGGGAGAGAGAGAGAGAGAGCUGACAUCAAGGAACCACACACACGCUCUCUACCCAGUGCUGGAGGAGGUGAAUGAAAACGGCUGCCAGCUGAGGUUCCAGGGGCUCUACGCGUACCGCAGGAGGUUUAGCAUGCAGCCCUUCACCUCCUUCCUUGACCUGGCUGGUGACCCCAAACUGGCGGCUGACCUGGAGCACUUCUGCAGGGACAUAGAGGCUGUGGAGUACUAUGUCAGUCUUGUCACGGCACGCCUCGGCCCCUCGGUCACCCUGCCGUCCACGGUCAGUUUGGGAGGCCCCUGGAGUGUGAAGGGGCUCAUGGCUGCCCAUUUGCAGCCCUAAGUACUGGAAGUCCUCCACUUCUGGCAGCAAGGAAGGCUUUCAGGUCGUCAAGACAGCCACUCUGAAGAAACCCUUCUGCCUCAACAUGAAAACAGGCCGUUAGAAUGAGAAUGUCGCGUUCACAGUCUCUCCCUGGUACGUCCUGAGCUUCCGGGGCUGCGUUAGGGUACAUUCAUGCUACGGCUGCGUCUUCAGGUCCUCCCAGCCCAUCCUGGUGCACCCCGAGUCCCUGAAUGUGGGUUAGGGUGUCGGGGUGUGUGGCUGUUGCCUGGGAGGAAAUUGUGCCCGCUCUGAUGGUUGCCAUUACACUUUGAUCUGGGAGGUACGCGUUGGUUGUGUAAGAAAAAUUCCUCCAAUCUCACCUGUCCUUCUCUCCAGGUGACAGAGGCUUCUGAGUGACCCAUCCAUCCAGCCACUCAUCCACAUGACCCAUCCAUCCAGCCACUCAUCCACAUGACCCAUCCAUCCAGCCACUCAUCCACAUGACCCAUCCAGCCAUCCACCCGAGGCAAGCGCCGCCUCCGCCCCCUGUCAGGUAUGGAGGGGUUAGGGAAAGGACGCCGUGCCCCAGCAGCUGCCCCUGACUGGCCAGCUGACCCCUCUUGAUGUCUCCAGGGCCGUGGUGAGGCAGGAGAGGACUCGAGGGUGCUGUCACAAAAACCACUUCUUGUGCCGGGAGGAAGAGCUUUCGUGUGGCCCACUGUGCAAUCCCACGCUGCUGUACCACGGGUCAGAGAGUGAGAGAGUGGAGAAGAGGGAGCUGAUCAGAAGGGCUGUGGAAGUGGAAGGGUGCCCUGUCUGAGUCCUGCCUGUCACUAUGACAUCCUCUGAGGUCCCUGAACACCUUAGCCCCCAUGAACCAGCUGCUGCUGACCGGGACACCCUUGCAGAACAGCCUGGCAGAGCUCUGGCCCCCUCUGAACUUCCUGAUGCCAGAUAUUUUUGAUUCCCUCAAUGUGUGGGGAGAUGCAGGAGGAGGGAAGUGACGAGAGGAUUUUGAGGCAGGAACGGGAGGGCCAGGUCAUCUCCACUCUAAUAAAGGAAUUUUGGGGCAAGUGGAGAGGCCCAGAGAGAAAAAUAUUUGAAGGAUGCUUAAGUGAAGAUAAUAUUUAAAGGAUUUGUGGGAAAAGGAAAGUGGAUGAAAAGACGUUUGUCUCGUGCCAGCGAACGUCCUGUCUGCAGUCGGACUGGUGGUGCCGUGUUGCAGGCUGUGACAUCAGGAAGAGCCAAAUGGAGGGUGUCUACAGCCAGAACUUGCUGCUGCUGCUGUACAGGUGUCACAAGCCAGGUGCCACAGCACACACCAUGUCACCUGACUCCACCAGUGUAUUGUCUAGUCCAGGAUGCAUUGCUGUACGAUUUGCAUGUCUAUUGCCAAUAAAUAAAUUUGUGACUAUUCUUAUAUAUGUGAAAAAAUAUAGAGUUUCCUAACAGUGUGGUAUAGUGUAAAAUAAAUUGUUUGGUGGUAACAAUUCAUGCACAGAAGAAGAAGAAAAAAAAAAAAAAAAAGCCAGGAUUAACCCACCCCAAAAAAAGUUUAAGAUACAAUUUGAACACAGAAACCCCAUCCGAGCGACACCGGAGUCGCUUGGACAGGGCUUCCUCGUGCAAAUUGUAUCUUAAACUUGCUUUUAAUAAACCAAGUUAAUCCUGGCUUUUUUUUUCACCUUAAGGGCAUGAACUGUACUCCAAGAAAGGUUGUUUAUUUGCAGAAGAUAUUAUUGACAUAGUACACAAGACGGUAUAUUGAAUUUUUAUUGUUUUAGUGUAUGACAAGUUAAUAAACACACAACAGGAUAAA